UACAGAGGUCUCAAGCGUUGUUCGGGAUUCAUUGGGCGUAAAGGGUGCGUAGGCGGCGUGGUAAGUCGGGUGUGAAAUCUCGGAGCUUAACUCCGAAACUGCAUUCGAUACUGCCGUGCUUGAGGACUGGAGAGGAGACUGGAAUUUACGGUGUAGCGGUGAAAUGCGUAGAUAUCGUAAGGAAGACCAGUGGCGAAGGCGGGUCUCUGGACAGUUCCGAUGACGCUGGAGGCACGAAGGCCAGGGGAGCAAAACGGG
rnacentral:rRNA from 1 species